rnacentral:rRNA from 1 species
AUGCUGACGGGUCAUCCCGAGGAGGAGAUGCCCGGGUCCGCGGGUGAUCUUCUGCCAGAGCUCUCACAACUGCGCGAACAAGUUCGGCAGGUGAUGCAGGGCAUUGCCCAAGCUUUGUGGCCAUCCGUCUCCCUGCCAGGGGGCAUGGGGGAGCUUGUAGAGAAGCUCAAGGGAGCGCGGCGGCGCUUCCGAUUAUGGAAGAUAUCAGCCUGCCGACAAGGUGCGAGGGAAGCCUGGGCCAUGGUGAAGACGCGGUAUACCAAGGCUGACCCUAACCACAUGGCCGAGGUUGGACCUGUGGGGCCUGACGGGAAGGAGAUCCCCGUCAGUUUGGUGUAUGACCAAGUAGAACUAGCCGCAAAGUAUUCCCAACAGGAUUGUAGGCUAGACAGCCUGUUGGAUGGUAUAGAAGAAGAAUUUAGUCAGUCUAAGUGA